GUCAGAGGUGAGAGCAUUCACAGCAAAGCCGCUGAUUAUUUUACUGACAGCUCACCUGGAAUCACAAUGACUGAAGUCUUUAUCAAUGCAGUUUAGAGUCUGUUUCUAUGUACAUACUGCAGCUAAAGAGGAUGAUAUCUGCUCCAUCAUGCCGUGGGCUGAUCCGUGCUGGUCGCUGAGGAAAUACAUCAACUUUGCACUGUGGAUCGCCGAAUAGGCUUUCACGGUGGACGAAGCGGAGUCCAGUCCGGGGUCGUCACAUGUGGUUGCCACAAGCCCAACGGACACUCUGUAGAAUCCACCGGCCGAGCCGUUCUCAAGCUGCCUGCCUCUGCUCACUCAAGCUGGCCUCCGCUCACUCUAAGCCUCCGGCCUCCGCUCACUCAAGGCCACGGUGUGUGGAGCUGUUUCGUUGAGAAAGAGAAACUACAUUGUUUGACCUUCCGAAAGAGGACAUGACUAGAAAUCAUGUUUAUAUCAUGUUUAUAAUGGGUUUUAUGUUUAUGUCCUGUCGCUCCAGCCGGACAAGGCAUCACAAUAUGUUAAGGGAAGUAACAUUUCCCUCACACACUUGAGGUACUGUAUUUGGCCAAUCACAACGCACUGGAUAACUGGCCAAUCAGAGAACACCUCGCUUUUCAGAGCAAUGAGCUUUGUAAAAAUCGAUGCGUUUCAGAAGGCGGGGCAUAGAGGAGAAACAAUAAUGUACAGUAUGUGAAAAAUAAUGUGUUUUUUAUUAACCUUAAACCACAUGAACACAUUUCAUUAUACCAAAUACACCAAAUAAUGUUCUUUUUAGCAGCAUCAUAUGACCCCUUUGAAAGUGAUUUCUGUUCCCACGAAACUUGCUACACCCCUGAAACAAAUUGACAUUUCUGUUGACAUCACCAAAGCCUUAAUUGUAAGCCCCUCCCCUUCAACCACAUGGCUUUAUUGUGCAACCAUUUUCUGUCCCAAGUCCCACCCUACAUUUUUGUUGCUGUUGUUGUUAUUGUCAAAUAUCUUAUAUAAAAUUGACUGCGCACCACUUUU
ensembl:lncRNA